rnacentral:rRNA from 1 species
GGGUUCCGUCCCCACGCCUCCAUCGUUUAUGGCUUUCGGGUCUAGGCGGUGGCUUGCGGCGCCCAGGAAUGAAGGAGGGUUGUUCGGGGGAGAACGUACUUGAGCGUGAGAGGUGAAAUUCUUAGACCACUCAAAGACGAACUACAGCGGAGGCAUUCUCCAAGGAUACCUUCCUCAAUCAAGAACCAAAGUGCGGAGAUCGAAGAUGAUUAGAGACCAUUGUAGUCCGCGCCCCUAACGGUGACCCCCAUGAAUUGGGGAGUAUUUGUCUCACUUGGGCCUGCCUUCCGGUAGGUUCGCCAAGUGGACAAUAAUUACUCAACUUACGUGCACAUUCAACGCGUUGGACUUCAAAAACCCAACGUUCUACGGGAAUAUCCUCAGCACGUUCUCUGACUGUCUCACGCGAAAGCUUUGAGGUUACAGUCUCAGGGGGGAGUACGUUCGCA